rnacentral:rRNA from 1 species
AACGAACGCUGGCGGCGUGCCUAACACAUGCAAGUCGUGCGAGAAAGUUCCUUCGGGAGCGAGUAAAGCGGCGCACGGGUGAGUAACACGUAGGUAACCUGCCCCCCAGUCUGGAACAACUAGAGGAAACUCUAGCUAAUGCCGGAUGAGACCACGAUCCCUUCUGGGGUUGCGGCCAAAGAUGGCCUCUACUUGUAAGCUAUCGCUGAGGGAUGGGCCUGCGGGCCAUUAGCUUGUUGGUGAAGUAACGGCUCACCAAGGCUGUGAUGGCUAGCUGGUCUGAGAGGAUGACCAGCCACACUGGGACUGAGACACGGCCCAGACUCCUACGGGAGGCAGCAGUGGGGAAUAUUGCGCAAUGGGCGAAAGCCUGACGCAGCGACGCCGCGUGGGUGAUGAAGGCCUC